UACGUAGGGGGCAAGCGUUGUCCGGAUUUAUUGGGCGUAAAGAGCGUGUAGGCGGCCAAACAGGUCAGCUGUGAAAACUCGAGGCUCAACCUCGAGACGUCGGUUGAAACCGUUUGGCUAGAGUCCGGAAGAGGAGAGUGGAAUUCCCGGUGUAGCGGUGAAAUGCGCAGAUAUCGGGAAGAACACCCGUGGCGAAGGCGGCUCUCUGGGACGGUACUGACGCUGAGACGCGAAAGCGUGGGGGCGAACAGG
rnacentral:rRNA from 1 species